UACGGAGGGUGCGAGCGUUGUCCGGAAUCACUGGGCGUAAAGGGCGCGUAGGCGGCGCGGGGAGUCAACGGUGAAAGCUCGGCGCUCAACGCCGAGUCGGCCGUCGAUACUCCCGUGCUCGAGCACUGUAGAGGCAGGUGGAAUUCCGGGUGUAGCGGUGGAAUGCGUAGAGAUCCGGAAGAACACCGGUGGCGAAGGCGGCCUUCUGGGUCGACCCUGACGCUGAGGCGCGAAAGCGUGGGGAGCGAACGGG
rnacentral:rRNA from 1 species